GACGAACGCUGGCGGCGUGCCUAAUACAUGCAAGUAGAACGCUGAAGGAGGAGCUUGCUUCUCUGGAUGAGUUGCGAACGGGUGAGUAACGCGUAGGUAACCUGCCUGGUAUCUGGGGGUAACUAUUGGAAACGAUAGCUACUACCGCAUAAUAGUAGAUGUUGCAUGACAUUUGCUUAAAAGGUGCAAUUGCAUCACUACCAGAUGGCGCUGCGUUGUAUUAGCUAGUUGGCGGGGUAACGGCUCACCAAGGCGACGAUCCAUAGCCGGUCUGAGAGGGGGAUCGGCCACACUGGAACUGAGACACGGUCCAGACUCCUACGGGAGGCAGCAGUGGGGAAUAUUGGACAAUGGGCGCAAGCCUGACCCAGCAAUACCGCGUGGGUGAAGAAGGCUUUCGGGUGGUAAAGCCCUUUUGUUGGGAAAGAAAAGCAGCAGGUUAAUAACCCGCUGUUCUGACGGUACCCUAAGAAUAAGCAACGGCUAACUACGUG
rnacentral:rRNA from 1 species